UUUGCAGAACUACACAUUCACUUUUCUUCCUUUGAAAUCUGUCCCUUGCUUUGAAAUUGUAACAAUAUUUGAAAAAUUGUCUUUUUAAGGUUAUUUCAGGGAUCCGAUGUAAUUUCAAAUACCACGCCCACCAAAGAACAGCCAAGCGGGAGCUCCGGGGAAAGCAUGGCGUCUGAUAGUGUAUCGCCUUGUGAGUCACCAGAUGGGCCGCAGAAGAACCUCUCAGAAUCCUCUUCCCCUUCUUCCUCCAACCACUCCAUGGACACCUCUUCAUCCGGCGUAUCUUCCUUCACUCUCUCGCCUCCUCUUCCACUGGACAGCAAUCCGGCCAUCCACCCACUUUCCAUCUCCAAUACCUCUGCACUUUGGCUUCCUUAUUAUAAUCAGAAGAGUGAAGAGUCCUGCAUCAUCCGAGUUCAUUUGGAACCCAGUAAUGGCAACAUGUACAAAAGCAUUCUGGUAUGUAAGAGAAUGGGUUUGGUGUAUAUACAGAUUGCCAUUUCAGCUAUGAGACAUUUUUGGAAUGUCAGUAAUUCAGUUCUAGAUCCCAUGUUUUGUCUGCCAACACUCUCAGGUUCAAUCCCUGGCCUAAUGCACAUAUCUACAAUUUAAAUUUUAUGCCAAGUUUAAAUUACUCUGCAUGUUUGCUUACUCUGUAUGAAUUUGUCCUAUUUAUUUUACAAACCAAACUCUUGGACUGACAAUUUGAAACGAAAGCAUCCUACAGUCCUACAAUGGAGCAUUGCCUGGGCUAAAAUUAUAUGCACCAUUAUCAAAGGGCCCCUUUAAAGCACGUUGAUUCCAUCUUCUUAGCCAUGGCACCAACCUCCAAAACCCUGGAAUUACCUAGUUUGGAGAGGCACUUGAAC
rnacentral:lncRNA from 11 species